rnacentral:tRNA from 1 species
AAUAGGAUGCCUGAAAAAAGGGCUUCCUUGAUAGGGAAGAUCAUGCAUAUAUAAUGCCCCUAUUA